rnacentral:rRNA from 1 species
AAAGAAAAAUCGAUUUCCUAAGUAGCGGCGAGCGAAAAGGAAAGAGCCCAAACCAAUGUGCUUGCAUAUUGGGGUUGUAGGACUCUCAACAAAGUGUAUGACAAAGUAUAGUAGAACUAGCUGGAAAGUUAGACCGUAGAAGGUAAAAGUCCUGUAUACGAAAUGCUAAGUUGGCGUGAGAGAGCACCUGAGUACGGCGGAACACGAGGAAUUCCGUCGGAAUCUACCAGGACCAUCUGGUAAGGCUAAAUACUACCUAGUGACCGAUAGUGAACCAGUACCGUGAGGGAAAGGUGAAAAGAACCCCGGGAGGGGAGUGAAAGAGAACCUGAAACCGUGUGCUUACAAGUAGUCAGAGCCCCAUGAGGGUGAUGGCGUGCCUUUUGUAGAAUGAACCGGCGAGUUACUUUAUCAUGCGAGGUUAAGUGGAAGACAUGGAGCCGAAGCGAAAGCGAGUCUUAAUAGGGCGAAAUAGUAUGAUGGAGUAGACCCGAAACCAAGUGAUCUACCCAUGGCCAGGUUGAAGUUUAGGUAACACUGAAUGGAGGACCGAACCAGGACACGUUGAAAAGUGUUUGGAUGAGCUGUGGGUAGCGGAGAAAUUCCAAUCGAACUUGGAAAUAGCUGGUUCUCUCCGAAAUAGCUUUAGGGCUAGCCUCGUUGUGAGUUUACUGGAGGUAGAGCACUGUUUGGACUAGGGGCCCAUCCCGGGUUACCGAAUUCAGACAAACUCCGAAUGCCAGAUAAAUAUCAACGGGAGUCAGACUGCGGGUGAUAAGGUUCGUAGUCGAAAGGGAAACAGCCCAGACCGCCAGCUAAGGUCCCAAAUUGUAUGUUAAGUGGAAAAGGAUGUGAUGAUGCACAGACAACCAGGAUGUUGGCUUAGAAGCAGCCACCAUUUAAAGAGUGCGUAAUAGCUCACUGGUCGAGUGACAUCGCGCCGAAAAUGUACCGGGGCUAAACAUACAACCGAAGCUGCGGAUAUAACUAAUGUUAUAUGGUAGGAGAGCGUUCUAACAUCAUAGAAGCUGAGCUGUAAGGCGAGGUGGAGAGGUUAGAAGUGAGAAUGCCGGUGUGAGUAGCGAAAGAUAGGUGAGAAUCCUAUCCACCGAAAGACUAAGGUUUCCAGAGGAAGGCUCGUCCGCUCUGGGUAAGUCGGGACCUAAGGUGAAGCCGAAUGGUGAAGCCGAUGGACAACAGGUAGAAAUUCCUGUACCACCAAAUAUCGUUUGAGAGAAGUGGGGACAGAGGAGGCUAAUUGAUCGUCCUGAUGGAAUAGGACGUCUAAGCACAAAGGUUGAGUAGUAGGCAAAUCCGCUGCUCAUAAGACUGAAGUGUGAUGGGGAGCGAAAUAUAGUAGCGAAGUCAAUGAAGCCAAACUCUCAAGAAAAGCCGCUAUCGAGAUAAGAGGUGCCCGUACCGCAAACCGACACAGGUAGUUGGGAAGAGAAUUCUAAGGUGAGCGAGAGAACCAUCGUUAAGGAACUCGGCAAAAUGACCCCGUAACUUCGGGAGAAGGGGUGCCUACGAGAGUAGGCCGCAGUGAAUAGGCCCAAGCGACUGUUUAACAAAAACACAGGUCUCUGCAAAACCGUAAGGUGAAGUAUAGGGGCUGACGCCUGCCCGGUGCUGGAAGGUUAAGAGGAGUGCUUAGCGUAAGCGAAGGUAUGAAUUGAAGCCCCAGUAAACGGCGGCCGUAACUAUAACGGUCCUAAGGUAGCGAAAUUCCUUGUCGGGUAAGUUCCGACCCGCACGAAAGGCGUAACGAUUUGGGCACUGUCUCAACGAUGGACUCGGUGAAAUCAUAGUACCUGUGAAGAUGCAGGUUACCCGCGACAGGACGGAAAGACCCCAUGGAGCUUUACUGUAGCUUGAUAUUGAAUUUUGAUGCAGUAUGUACAGGAUAGGUAGGAGCCUAAGAAUCAUGCACGCCAGUGUAUGAGGAGGCGCUGUUGGGAUACUACCCUUGCUGUAUUGAAAUUCUAACCCUCGGCAAAGACCGGGAGACAGUGUCAGGUGGGCAGUUUGACUGGGGCGGUCGCCUCCCAAAGAGUAACGGAGGCGUUCAAAGGUUCCCUCAG